rnacentral:rRNA from 1 species
CCUACGGGUGGCAGCAGUCGAGAAUCAUUCACAAUGGGGGAAACCCUGAUGGUGCGACGCCGCGUGGGGGAAUGAAGGUCUUCGGAUUGUGAACCCCUGUCAUGUGGGAGCAAAUUAAAAAGAUAGUACCACAAGAGGAAGAGACGGCUAACUCUGUGCCAGCAGCCGCGGUAAUACAGAGGUCUCAAGCGGUGUUCGGAAUCACUGGGCGUAAGGCGUGCGUAGGCUGUUUCGUAAGUCGUGUGUGAAAGGCGCGGGCUCAACCCGCGGACGGCACAUGAUACUGCGAGACUAGAGUAAUGGAGGGGGAACCGGAAUUCUCGGUGUAGCAGUGAAAUGCGUAGAUAUCGAGAGGAACACUCGUGGCGAAGGCGGGUUCCUGGACAUUAACUGACGCUGAGGCACGAAGGCCAGGGGAGCGAAAGGGAUUAGAUACCCCGGUAGUC